GACGAACGCUGGCGGCGUGCUUAACACAUGCAAGUCGAACGAUGACGACCGAGCUUGCUCAGUCUGAUUAGUGGCGAACGGGUGAGUAACACGUGAGCAACCUGCCCUUCACUCUGGGAUAACCUCGGGAAAUCGGGGCUAAUACCGGAUAUGAGCUCCUGUCGCAUGGCGGGUGUUGGAAAGUUUUUCGGUGAAGGAUGGGCUCGCGGCCUAUCAGUUUGUUGGUGAGGUAGUGGCUCACCAAGGCGAUGACGGGUAGCCGGCCUGAGAGGGCGACCGGCCACACUGGGACUGAGACACGGCCCAGACUCCUACGGGAGGCAGCAGUGGGGAAUAUUGCACAAUGGGCGAAAGCCUGAUGCAGCGACGCCGCGUGAGGGAUGACGGCCUUCGGGUUGUAAACCUCUUUCAGCAGGGAAGAAGCGAAAGUGACGGUACCUGCAGAAGAAGCGCCGGCUAACUACGUG
rnacentral:rRNA from 1 species